rnacentral:rRNA from 1 species
UACGGGGGGGGGCAAGCGUUGUUCGGAAUUACUGGGCGUAAAGGGCUCGUAGGCGGCCAACUAAGUCAUACGUGAAAUCCCCCGGCUUAACCGGGGAACUGCGUCUGAUACUGGAUGGCUUGAGUUCGGGAGAGGGAUGCGGAAUUCCAGGUGUAGCGGUGAAAUGCGUAGAUAUCUGGAGGAACACCGGUGGCGAAGGCGGCAUCCUGGACCGAUACUGACGCUGAGGCGCGAAAGCGUGGGGAGCAAACAGGG